rnacentral:rRNA from 1 species
CCCUUAGAUGUUCUGGGCCGCACGCGCGCUACACUGAUUCGUUCAUCGAGCUUACAACCUUGACCGGCAGGUCUGGGUAAUCUUUUCAAAGCGAAUCGUGCUGGGGAUAGAUUAUUGUAAUUUUUAAUCUUAAACGAGGAAUUCCUAGUAAACGCAAGUCAUCAACUUGCAUUGAUUACGUCCCUGCCCUUUGUACACACCGCCCGUCGCUACUACCGAUUGAACGUUUUAGUGAGCUCCUCGGAUUGUCAGCCUGGCGGUUAAUCCUGCCUGGCUAGCGAAAAGACGAGCAAACUUGAGCGUUUAGAGGAAGUAAAAGUCGUAACA